GGAUUAGAUACCCUGGUAGUCCACGCCGUAAACGAUGUGUGCUAGUUGUCGGGGUCUUUAGGCUUCGGUGACGCAGCUAACGCAUUAAGCACACCGCCUGGGGAGUACGGUCGCAAGAUUAAAACUCAAAGGAAUUGACGGGGACCCGCACAAGCGGUGGAGCAUGUUGUUUAAUUCGAAGCAACGCGAAGAACCUUACCUACCCUUGACAUACCUCUCGGGGAUUACAGAGAUGUUUUCCUUCGGUUCGGCCGGAGAGUGUACAGGUGCUGCAUGGCUGUCGUCAGCUCGUGCUG
rnacentral:rRNA from 1 species